CCUACGGGAGGCAGCAGUGGGGAAUAUUGCACAAUGGGGGAAACCCUGAUGCAGCGACGCCGCGUGAGUGAAGAAGUACUUCUGUAUGUUAAGCUCUAUCAGCAGGGAAGAAAAUGACGGUACCUGAUUAAGAAGCCCCGGCUAAAUACGUGCCAGCAGCCGCGGUAAUACGUGGGGAGCAAGCGUUAUCCGGAUUUACUGGGUGUAAAGGGAGCGUUGACGGCAGCACAAGUCUGGAGUGAAAUGCCGGGGCUUAACCCCGGAACUGCUUUGGAAACUGUGCAGCUAGAGUGCAGGAGAGGUAAGUGGAAUUCCUAGUGUAGCGGUGAAAUGCGUAGAUAUUAGGAGGAACACCAGUGGCGAAGGCGGCUUACUGGACUGUAACUGACGUUGAGGCUCGAAAGCGUGGGGAGCGAACAGGAUUAGAUACCCUAGUAGUC
rnacentral:rRNA from 1 species